ACAAUUUUAAUUAGCUCCUGGGAUAUAAGUUGCUAGAGGUAGUUCUUGUAGCAAGGGAAUUGAAUUAUAAUCGUGUAUUAUUUGAGGGUGAUGCCAAGACCAAUGGCCAGAGUACAGCGGAAACGAUGUCCAAAUCAUGAGGAUACCAGACCACUCAACAAUGAUUUUUCUCAUCUUCAAUUUUUAUUUGGCUCGGCUCAUAUACGAACCGUGUUAAGCAUGAAAAUAAUACCUUCUCUCUCUAAGAAAGCUCUCACCUCUUUCCAAACAGCCUUUGUUUUUAGAGAAGUCCAGGGGAGUUCCGGCCAUUUUGGCCGUCGAUCCUCCCCCACCCCUUUGUUCAGUUUGCUUUUAUUUGGUUUUUUUAGUUUUCUUCCUUUAGUUUUGUUUAGUUUUCUCAGCCUCUUGUUUUGGAGCCCCAGUGCCACUCUUCAAUGGGGAUUUAGUUAGCUUAAGGGGGUUGCUCCUCUGAUGCUUAUUGUGAUGCUGCUAGAAGCAGUUUGGCUGGCAAGAUUGGAAGUUCAGCACUGAUGAGGUCAUCUCUUCAGUCAGGAAUUCGCAUGCAAGGUCUUGGAUGUGCCAAACCUUUUUCCGAUCCAUCCGGCAUGGUCCAGGUUUUCACUUCUGCCAAGCUUCUCUCCUUCUAAAGGACGCUAAAGUGAUGCCAGUGAAGGAGGCUUCCAAGUCAACUGCUGCUGAAAUUGCUAAUCGGAUCUUACCCGUUAAGCCUAGAGCUCCAUAUUUAUUGGGUUUAAGCCCUCUUUCCCUGUACUUGAGCUUAGGUGAGAGUAGUUUGUAGCUUUUAAUUUUAUUGUCUUGGGCCUCAUAAGCAUAUUUCAUCUAAUGAAACACCUUUUCUGGUUUAAAAAAAAAAAAAGUCUACAGGUCCAGUCACUUCAGUUUUUGAGUAGUGUUCUAAACUUCUAAUAAGAACGCACCCGGCCGUGCUUCUAUCAUUGUGUUUUCCUUUUCUGAGUGCCAUCUAUCUUCAAGAAAAUUAUAUAUGGUA